GAGUGAAACUCAAAGGAAUUGACGGGGACCCGCACAAGUAGCGGAGCAUGUGGUUUAAUUCGAAGCAACGCGAAGAACCUUACCUAAGCUUGACAUCCCAAUGACAUCUCCUUAAUCGGAGAGUUCCCUUCGGGGACAUUGGUGACAGGUGGUGCAUGGUUGUCGUCAGCUCGUGUCGUGAGAUGUUGGGUUAAGUCCCGCAACGAGCGCAACCCUUGUCUUUAGUUGCCAUCAUUAAGUUGGGCACUCUAGAGAGACUGCCAGGGAUAACCUGGAGGAAGGUGGGGAUGACGUCAAAUCAUCAUGCCCCUUAUGCUUAGGGCUACACACGUGCUACAAUGGGUAGUACAGAGGGUUGCCAAGCCGUAAGGUGGAGCUAAUCCCUUAAAGCUACUCUCAGUUCGGAUUGUAGGCUGAAACUCGCCUACAUGAAGCUGGAGUUACUAGUAAUCGCAGAUCAGAAUGCUGCGGUGAAUGCGUUCCCGGGUCUUGUACACACCGCCCGUCACACCACGGGAGUUGGAGACGCCCGAAGCCGAUUAUCUAACCUUUUGGAAGAAGUCGUCGAAGGUGGAAUCAAUAACUGGGGUGAAGUCGUA
rnacentral:rRNA from 1 species